CUCUUUAUUCUCUAGUUUCUGUCGUCAUAUUUUUUUUCUUCUCUCCUAAAAACUCCGUGAAGCAAAGUUAUAGAACAAUGCGAUCUUAAUAGAUCCGGCUAAAACAUAAUCGAAUGUUGAAGAAGUUGAAGAAGAUUACUCUUGAUGAAUCUCCUAACAGGAAACAAAAUAAAGCUCAACCCUCGAAAAAUUGGAAUCUUUGAUUUUUAUGUUUAUAAGAAAUUUGUGAUAUUGCUUGAAUGAAUUUCAACCUCAAAGUCCCAACACCCUGAUUGCAAACUCAAAGAAAGAUGAGCUACAGAGAAGCAGAGGAGGAGAAAAUGGAAUGAAAACCCCCGUAGAAGAUAAUUCAGAGAACUUAUCCAUUCAACUUGGUGCACGUAAUGCGCAAUUUGAAUUGGGAUUGGAUCAAGAGGAUAGUGGCUUACCUUGUAGGAUUAGAAGACACUACAAUGGAAGAGAGCGCAACAGCAUUCUGGGAUCGUGUUCUUCACUAUUUUGUCAACUCAAAUGGUAAUUAUCAAGGAAGAACGCCAGAAUGUCUAUCAGAAAGGUUCGGGGGCAUACGUGAUUGUUGUUUACGAUAUAAAAAAAAUACUGAGGGGCUUGAAUAUGGAUCAAGAAGCUGCAAUUCUUGCAUAUGCUGCAUCUGUAGGGCGCGAAUUCAAAUUCAUGGAGGCUUAUGAAAUUAUCAAAGGAGAUGUUUUAAGUUUGUAUUAAACUUGCAUUAAGCAUUAUGGAACUAAUAAAGUUUUCUUUUGAUUAUGAUUAUGAGAAA